rnacentral:rRNA from 1 species
GGGUCAGUAGGUUGGUCGUGCCACCGGUACGUACUGAUCUCACUGAUUCCUCCUUCCUGAAGAACCGUAAUGCCAUUAAUUUGGUGUUGCGGGGAAACAGGACUGUUACUUUGAAAAAAUUAGAGUGUUUAAAGCAAGCUAACGCUUGAAUACAUUAGCAUGGAAUAAUGAAAUAGGACGAUCGAUCCUAUUUUGUUGGUUUCUAGGAUUGACGUA